rnacentral:lncRNA from 1 species
AACAAACACAAUGUCAAAAUGACAAGUGAUAUGAAGCCGUAAAUGCCCCUCCACCCCAUUCCUAAUCCGAGACUGUAUGGCCUGUCUCCAACAGACAAUGUGGUUCAGGAUUGGACUCUACAGCCACACUAAGACCAUUCCCAAUCCGAGACUGUAUGGCCUGUCUCCAACAGACAAUGUGGUUCAGGAUUGGACUCUACAGCCACACUAAGACACACAAGUCAUCAUUGGAUACGAUGGUCUACCAGUAAGCAAGUGUGUGUGGUUCUGUGUGUGGGUCAAACAAUAUCCAAAUAUUGAUCACUAUUAUUCACUGUUCCUGUGGUGCACAUACAUUUUUACACAUGGAAUGAUUGAUAUCUUUUCCCUUCAACAAAUCAAUGGUAAUUGCUGUGUUUGGAUCUUAAAACUCUUUCAUUCUUGUAGUGGAAAGAGGUUAUAAACGACUGUUGAUAGGGGUGAGAUUAACAGUGUAUUACUCCCCAACCCCCUCACUAGUUCCACUUUGUAAAUACCACCUUAGUUUUAAAAAGAGUAAAUGCAACUGGGCCUGUGUUGAAAUGGGAUGCAGCUCACAUCCUUCUCUCCUAGCCUGUAAGAAGUUCAAUCUGUUCCAGGACAAUACUCACAAUCUGUUUGACUUUCCACCCCCUGGCAUUUUAGCUCAGACAGAUAUCAAGAAUCCCUGCCUGGGGUGGAAUGAGCUGGAACUGAGUGCCAUAGAGAAGAGUCAUCCAUGGCCUUUGCUCUCAAAGGAGUGAUGAGCCUAAGGAAGUAAGUUUGUUUAAUACAUUACGCUACCUGAUGCGUGUGUAGGUAUUCCAGCAACGUACCACCCUGCAUACCACUGCUAGCUUACUUCUGAAGCUAAGCAGGGUUGGUCCUGGUCAGUCCCUGGAUGGGAGACAAGAUGCUGCUGGAAGUGGUGUUGGAGGGCCAGUAGGAGGCACUCUUUCCUCUGGUCUAAAAAAUACCCCAAUGCCCCAGGGCAGUGACUGCCCUGUGUAGGGUGCUGUCUUUUGGAUGGGAUGUUAAACGGGUGUCGUGACUCUCUGAGGUCAUUAAAGAUCCCAUGGCACUUAUCAUAAGAGUAGGGGUGUUAACCCUGGUGUCCUGGCUGAAUUCCCAAUCUGGCCCUCAUACCAUCAUGGUCACCUAAUAAUCCCCAGUUUACAAUUGGCUCAUUACUAUUCCCAGGUUGUUGCUGUAAAUGAGAAUGUGUUCUCAGUCAACUUACCUGGUAAAAUAAUGGAUACCUGUACAAUGUACAGUAUUUACCUCCUAUCAUUAAUUUGGUUAUAGUACUGUAACAUAACUUUCUACGCUGCUGCCUACAAUUGAUUUCAAUUAGAUAUGUCUGCAGAGAGCCACAACAACAAUGUGCUGUCAUCAAUCAUGAUGAUGUUAACCCAUUUGCUGCUCAUAUCUAACAGUGGGGACCUCUUAUACAGGACAAUGGGGAUAAUAGUCAGUGAAGCACUUUUCUUAGCUGCCUGCUGUUUUCAGAUUACUUUUGAUUGCAUGUUGAUGAUAUUGGACAUCCCCCUCAGGCUACAGUCAUUUAUCACAUCACCACGACAAUAACACCAGUGUCCUUUUGCUUUUAUGAUGCUCUUUUCCAAAACAAUCACUGGCUACUUGGUAUUGUGUCUGUAAAUAUGGCCAUGCUGUCUCCAUUUAUAUAAUGUAAGUAUACUCCAUGGCAACUGUGUAAGAGAGGGCUAAAUGUCUGCUGACCAAUAAGAGAGAAGAAGAGAGGAAACGAGAGAGUGGGAAGGUGGGAGCUAAGUCAGUUACCUCUCCCACUAGGCAAAAACAAUUAUCAUCAAUGUCUGAAUCGCUGUCUGGACAAAGUUAACACACUUUAUGGCUAGACUGCAGCACUAGUCUACCCAAGCUAUAACUAUUAAUGGCUGCUAAUGUGCAUCUCUG